rnacentral:rRNA from 1 species
GAAUUUAAUAUAGUUUUAUUAGAUUGAUUUAUAUUUAUUAUAUUUAUUUAGGAAUAGUAAAAAUAUAUUUAGUUGGGAGGAUUAUUAAAUUUAAUAAACUUUAAUUUUAUUUACAAGAAUAUAAAUUAGUAAAAUAAUGGGUGGUUUAUAAAUUAAAUAAGAAUUAAUUACCUUAGGGAUAACAGCAUAAUAUUUUUAGAAAGUUCCUAUUAAUAAAAAUGAUUGU